rnacentral:rRNA from 1 species
GACGAACACUGGCGGCGUGCCUAAUACAUGCAAGUAGAACGCUGAAGAGAGGAGCUUGCUCUUCUUGGAUGAGUUGCGAACGGGUGAGUAACGCGUAGGUAACCUGCCUUGUAGCGGGGGAUAACUAUUGGAAACGAUAGCUAAUACCGCAUAACAAUAGGUGACACAUGUCAUUUAUUUGAAGGGGCAAUUGCUCCACUACAAGAUGGACCUGCGUUGUAUUAGCUAGUAGGUGAGGUAACGGCUCACCUAGGCGACGAUACAUAGCCGACCUGAGAGGGUGAUCGGCCACACUGGGACUGAGACACGGCCCAGACUCCUACGGGAGGCAGCAGUAGGGAAUCUUCGGCAAUGGGGGCAACCCUGACCGAGCAACGCCGCGUGAGUGAAGAAGGUUUUCGGAUCGUAAAGCUCUGUUGUAAGUCAAGAACGAGUGUGAGAGUGGAAAGUUCACACUGUGACGGUAGCUUACCAGAAAGGGACGGCUAACUACGUGCCAGCAGCCGCGGUAAUACGUAGGUCCCGAGCGUUGUCCGGAUUUAUUGGGCGUAAAGCGAGCGCAGGCGGUUUGAUAAGUCUGAAGUUAAAGGCUGUGGCUCAACCAUAGUUCGCUUUGGAAACUGUCAAACUUGAGUGCAGAAGGGGAGAGUGGAAUUCCAUGUGUAGCGGUGAAAUGCGUAGAUAUAUGGAGGAACACCGGUGGCGAAGGCGGCUCUCUGGUCUGUAACUGACGCUGAGGCUCGAAAGCGUGGGGAGCGAACAGGAUUAGAUACCCUGGUAGUCCACGCCGUAAACGAUGAGUGCUAGGUGUUGGAUCCUUUCCGGGAUUCAGUGCCGCAGCUAACGCAUUAAGCACUCCGCCUGGGGAGUACGACCGCAAGGUUGAAACUCAAAGGAAUUGUCGGGGGCCCGCACAAGCGGUGGAGCAUGUGGUUUAAUUCGAAGCAACGCGAAGAACCUUACCAGGUCUUGACAUCCCGAUGCUAUUUCUAGAGAUAGAAAGUUACUUCGGUACAUCGGUGACAGGUGGUGCAUGGUUGUCGUCAGCUCGUGUCGUGAGAUGUUGGGUUAAGUCCCGCAACGAGCGCAACCCCUAUUGUUAGUUGCCAUCAUUCAGUUGGGCACUCUAGCGAGACUGCCGGUAAUAAACCGGAGGAAGGUGGGGAUGACGUCAAAUCAUCAUGCCCCUUAUGACCUGGGCUACACACGUGCUACAAUGGUUGGUACAACGAGUUGCGAGUCGGUGACGGCAAGCUAAUCUCUUAAAGCCAAUCUCAGUUCGGAUUGUAGGCUGCAACUCGCCUACAUGAAGUCGGAAUCGCUAGUAAUCGCGGAUCAGCACGCCGCGGUGAAUACGUUCCCGGGCCU